rnacentral:rRNA from 1 species
CAUAUCAAUAAGCGGAGGAAAAGAAACCAACAGGGAUUGCCCUAGUAACGGCGAGUGAAGCGGCAACAGCUCAAAUUUGAAAUCUGGCCUCCGGGUCCGAGUUGUAAUUUGUAGAGGAUGCUUUUGGUGCGGUACCUUCCGAGUUCCCUGGAACGGGACGCCAUAGAGGGUGAGAGCCCCGUCUGGUUGGACGCCAAUCCUUUGUAAAGCUCCUUCAACGAGUCGAGUAGUUUGGGAAUGCUGCUCUAAAUGGGAGGUAUAUGUCUUCUAAAGCUAAAUAUUGGCCAGAGACCGAUAGCGCACAAGUAGAGUGAUCGAAAGAUGAAAAGCACUUUGAAAAGAGAGUUAAAAAGUACGUGAAAUUGUUGAAAGGGAAGCGCUCAUGACCAGACUUGGGCUUGGUUGAUCAUCCAGGGUUCUCCCUGGUGCACUCUUCCAGCCCAGGCCAGCAUCAGUUCGCUGUGGGGGAUAAAGGCUUCGGGAAUGUGGCUCCCUCGGGAGUGUUAUAGCCCGUUGUGUAAUACCCUGUGGUGGACUGAGGUUCGCGCAUUCGCAAGGAUGCUGGCGUAAUGGUCAUCAGCGACCCGUCUUGAAACACGGACCAAGGAGUCGUCUUCGUAUGCGAGUGUUCGGGUGUCAAACCCCUACGCGUAAUGAAAGUGAACGCAGGUGAGAGCUUCGGCGCAUCAUCGACCGAUCCUGAUGUUCUCGGAUGGAUUUGAGUAAGAGCAUACGGGGCCGGACCCGAAAGAAGGUGAACUAUGCCUGUAUAGGGUGAAGCCAGAGGAAACUCUGGUGGAGGCUCGCAGCGGUUCUGACGUGCAAAUCGAUCGUCAAAUAUGGGCAUGGGGGCGAAAGACUAAUCGAACCUUCUAGUAGCUGGUUUCCGCCGAAGUUUCCCUCAGGAUAGCAGUGUUGAUCUCAGUUUUAUGAGGUAAAGCGAAUGAUUAGGGACUCGGGGGCGCUAUUUAGCCUCCAUCCAUUCUCAAACUUUAAAUAUGUAAGAAGCCCUUGUUACUUAGUUGAACGUGGGCAUUCGAAUGUACCAACACUAGUGGGCCAUUUUUGGUAAGCAGAACUGGCGAUGCGGGAUGAACCGAACGCGAGGUUAAGGUGCCAGAGUAGACGCUCAUCAGACACCACAAAAGGUGUUAGUACAUCUUGACAGCAGGACGGUGGCCAUGGAAGUCGGAAUCCGCUAAGGACUGUGUAACAACUCACCUGCCGAAUGUACUAGCCCUGAAAAUGGAUGGCGCUCAAGCGUCUCACCCAUACCUCGCCCUCAGGGUAGAAACGAUGCCCUGAGGAGUAGGCGGACGCAGAGGUCAGUGACGAAGCCUAGGGCGUGAGCCCGGGUCGAACGGCCUCUGGUGCAGAUCUUGGUGGUAGUAGCAAAUACUUCAAUGAGAACUU